rnacentral:rRNA from 1 species
UACGUAGGGUGCAAGCGUUAUCCGGAAUUAUUGGGCGUAAAGAGCUCGUAGGCGGUUUGUCGCGUCUGCUGUGAAAACCCGAGGCUCAACCUCGGGCCUGCAGUGGGUACGGGCAGACUAGAGUGCGGUAGGGGAGAUUGGAAUUCCCGGUGUAGCGGUGGAAUGCGUAGAGAUCGGGAAGAACAUCAGUGGCGAAGGCGGCCUGCUGGGCUGUUGCUGACGCUGAGGCGCGACAGCGUGGGGAGCAAACAGG